GAUGAACGCUGGCGGCGUGCUUAACACAUGCAAGUCGAGCGAGUGAGUUCUUCGGAACGAUCUAGCGGCGGACGGGUGAGUAACACGUGGGCAACCUGCCUCAUAGAGGGGAAUAGCCUCCCGAAAGGGAGAUUAAUACCGCAUGAAAUUAUCGAGUGGCAUCACAUGAUAAUCAAAGGAGUAAUCCGCUAUGAGAUGGGCCCGCGGCGCAUUAGCUAGUUGGUGAGGUAACGGCUCACCAAGGCGACGAUGCGUAGCCGACCUGAGAGGGUGAUCGGCCACAUUGGGACUGAGACACGGCCCAGACUCCUACGGGAGGCAGCAGUGGGGAAUAUUGCACAAUGGGGGAAACCCUGAUGCAGCAACGCCGCGUGAGUGAUGAAGGUCUUCGGAUUGUAAAGCUCUGUCUUUGGGGACGAUAAUGACGGUACCCAAGGAGGAAGCCACGGCUAACUACGUGCCAGCAGCCGCGGUAAAAC
rnacentral:rRNA from 1 species